rnacentral:rRNA from 1 species
AUUGAACGCUGGCGGCAGGCCUAACACAUGCAAGUCGAACGUUUGGCGCACGGGUGUGUAAUGCCUGGGAAAAUGCCCGAUGGAGGGGGAUAACUACUGGAAACGGUAGCUAAUACCGCAUACCCUCGGAUGUGCCCAGAUGGGUUUAGCUUGUAGGUGAGGUAACGCCUCACCUAGGCGACGUUCCCGAGCGGGUCUGAGAGGAUGACCAGCCACACUGGAACUGAGACACGGCCCAGACUCCUACGGGAGGCAGCAGUGGGGAAUAUUGGACAAUGGGCGCAAGCCUGAUGCAGCCAUGUCGCGUGGAGGAAGAAGGCCUUCGGGUUGUAAAGUACUUUAAGCGGGGAGGCGUUACCCGCAGAAGAAGCACCGGCUAACUCCGUGCCAGCAGCCGCGGUAAUUC